rnacentral:rRNA from 1 species
AGAGUUUGAUCAUGGCUCAGAUUGAACGCUGGCGGCAUGCCUUACACAUGCAAGUCGAACGGCAGCGCGGGGCAACCUGGCGGCGAGUGGCGAACGGGUGAGUAAUAUAUCGGAACGUACCCUGGAGUGGGGGAUAACGUAGCGAAAGUUACGCUAAUACCGCAUACGAUCUAAGGAUGAAAGUGGGGGAUCGCAAGACCUCAUGCUCCUGGAGCGGCCGAUAUCUGAUUAGCUAGUUGGUGGGGUAAAGGCCCACCAAGGCUUCGAUCAGUAGCUGGUCUGAGAGGACGACCAGCCACACUGGAACUGAGACACGGUCCAGACUCCUACGGGAGGCAGCAGUGGGGAAUUUUGGACAAUGGGCGCAAGCCUGAUCCAGCAAUGCCGCGUGAGUGAAGAAGGCCUUCGGGUUGUAAAGCUCUUUUGUCAGGGAAGAAACGGUGGAGGCUAAUAUCCUUUGCUAAUGACGGUACCUGAAGAAUAAGCACCGGCUAACUACGUGCCAGCAGCCGCGGUAAUACGUAGGGUGCAAGCGUUAAUCGGAAUUACUGGGCGUAAAGCGUGCGCAGGCGGUUUUGUAAGUUUGUCGUGAAAGCCCCGGGCUCAACCUGGGAAUUGCGAUGAAGACUGCAAGGCUUGAAUCUGGCAGAGGGGGGUAGAAUUCCACGUAGCAGUGAAAUGCGUAGAGAUGUGGAGGAACACCGAUGGCGAAGGCAGCCCCCUGGGUCAAGAUUGACGCUCAUGCACGAAAGCGUGGGGAGCAAACAGGAUUAGAUACCCUAGUAGUCC